rnacentral:rRNA from 1 species
CGGGAACUCGGAUUAAUACCGCGUGUGGUUCUGCAGGACAUCCUGUGGAAACUAAAGGUGGCGCAAGCUGCCGCUUCCAGAUGGGCUCGCGGCCUAUCAGCUUGUUGGUGAGGUAACGGCUCACCAAGGCUCCGACGGGUAACUGGUCUGAGAGGAUGAUCAGUCACACUGGAACUGAGACACGGUCCAGACACCUACGGGUGGCAGCAGUCGAGAAUCAUUCGCAAUGGGCGAAAGCCUGACGGUGCGACGCCGCGUGGAGGAUGACGGCCCUCGGGUUGUAAACUCCUGUCAUCAGAGAGUAAGGCUCUUGCGAGUAACUGCGCAGGAGAUUGAUAGUAUCUGAAGAGGAAGGGACGGCUAACUUCGUG